UACGGGGGGGGUAAGCGUUGUUCGGAAUUACUGGGCGUAAAGGGCUCGUAGGCGGUUCUGUAAGACCGAUGUGAAAUCCCUCGGCUCAACCGAGGAACUGCAUCCGAUACUGGCGGGCUUGAAUCCGGGAGAGGGAUGUGGAAUUCCAGGUGUAGCGGUGAAAUGCGUAGAUAUCUGGAGGAAUACCGGUGGCGAAAGCGACUCUCUGGACGGCAACUGACGCUGAGGCACGAAAGCGUGGGGAGCAAACAGG
rnacentral:rRNA from 1 species